rnacentral:rRNA from 1 species
AGAGUUUGAUCCUGGCUCAGGACGAACGCUGGCGGCACGCUUAACACAUGCAAGUCGAACGAGAGAAGAUAAGCUUGCUUUUCUGAUCUAGUGGCGGACGGGUGAGUAACACGUGAGCAAUCUGCCUUUCAGAGGGGGAUACCGAUUGGAAACGAUCGUUAAUACCGCAUAACAUAAUUGAACCGCAUGAUUUGAUUAUCAAAGAUUUAUCGCUGAAAGAUGAGCUCGCGUCUGAUUAGCUAGUUGGUAAGGUAACGGCUUACCAAGGCGACGAUCAGUAGCCGGACUGAGAGGUUGAUCGGCCACAUUGGGACUGAGACACGGCCCAGACUCCUACGGGAGGCAGCAGUGGGGAAUAUUGCACAAUGGGGGAAACCCUGAUGCAGCGACGCCGCGUGAGUGAAGAAGUAUUUCGGUAUGUAAAGCUCUAUCAGCAGGGAAGAAAAUGACGGUACCUGACUAAGAAGCCCCGGCUAACUACGUGCCAGCAGCCGCGGUAAUACGUAGGGGGCAAGCGUUAUCCGGAUUUACUGGGUGUAAAGGGAGCGUAGACGGCGAGGCAAGUCUGAUGUGAAAACCCGGGGCUCAACCCCGUGACUGCAUUGGAAACUGUUUUGCUUGAGUGCCGGAGAGGUAAGCGGAAUUCCUAGUGUAGCGGUGAAAUGCGUAGAUAUUAGGAGGAACACCAGUGGCGAAGGCGGCUUACUGGACUGUAACUGACACUGAGGCACGAAAGCGUGGGGAGCAAACAGGAUUAGAUACCCUGGUAGUCCACGC